AGUUUACCACUUGGUGCCGUUCUUUCCAAAUUAGUUGCUGUAACCUCACAGUGAUCAAAAUGGUAUUAAACUUUUAGGUAGAACUUGAUAAGCCAAUUUCAAAGUUCAUACAGAGACCCAGAGGAUUUAGAGUCCUUAACACAGUUUCUUUUAUUCUACCUGACUUCCAAAGAGUAUGCUACUGGUGUAAAGCCAGACAUCAGUGCGACAGGAUGGAUAAUCCAAGACAGACCUACAUGCACAUAUGGCCAGCUUAUUUUCAGCAAUGUGUCAUGUCCGUUCACCAAGGACAGGGACAGUCUUUCCUGAAAAUGACACUAGAGUGAUAAUAUAUCAUACGUGAUCAUAUAAUAUCAGAUGUGGGGUGGCGGGAUGGGGCACAGUGGGGUGUGGGUAACUUGUACUCUCACAUACACCAAAAAAGAAACUCAAAAUACAAUGCAAACCAAAAUUAAAACACUUGAACUAUAAAACCUCAAGAAGAAAACACGAGAGAUUAUGUUACUGAACUUGGGUUUGGCACAAAAAUUUCCCCCCUUUUUAAAUAUGGUGUGUCAUAAAACCCAGACUAGCUCCAGAUUUGCUAUGUAGCCCAGGCUGGCCUUAAACUUGCUAUGUAAUUCAAGGCUAUCUCGUGAUUGUGGCAGAUCUCCCAACUCGGCCUCUACACCUAUAAUACUGGAACUAUAGGUGUAUGUCGCCCCACCAGG
rnacentral:lncRNA from 1 species